GAUGAACGCUAGCGGCAGGCCUAAUACAUGCAAGUCGAGGGGCAGCGCGGUAGCAAUACUGGCGGCGACCGGCGCACGGGUGCGUAACACGUAUGCAACCUACCUUCAACUGGAGGAUAGCCCGGGGAAACUCGGAUUAAUACUCCAUAACACAGGGAUCCCGCAUGGGAAUAUUGUUAAAGCUACGGCGGUUGAAGAUGGGCAUGCGUUCGAUUAGCUAGUUGGUGUAGGUAACGGCUCACCAAGGCUACGAUCGAUAGGGGGUCUGAGAGGAUGAUCCCCCACACUGGUACUGAGAUACGGACCAGACUCCUACGGGAGGCAGCAGUAGGGAAUAUUGGUCAAUGGGCGCAAGCCUGAACCAGCCAUGCCGCGUGCAGGAAGAAGGCCCCUCUGGGGUUGUAAAACUGCUUUUGAUAGGGAACAAAUGCCACUUGCGAGUGGAGCUGAGUGUACCUAUAGAAUAAGCACCGGCUAACUCCGUGCCAGCAGCCGC
rnacentral:rRNA from 1 species